UCUGCAGGAAACAGUGCAUUCUACAGCUCAUUUCAAAUAAAACGCAGGGCUUCCAACUUCGGUCAGCUGACUGGAGUGAGAUUUUCAAUUCGAGACAAGUCUGCAUGCAAACGCAUUUACAUAGCAUGGACAUACGCGUACACUUUAUGACAGCGUCUCGUUCUCUGCGGCGCAGUUCUGGAGAGUUAUUCCCUGCCUUGUGCCUGCUGCUUCUGGGAUAGACCCCCAUGGGAACUCCAGGACCCUGCGUAGCAUAACGGAGCAUAGAAAAUGGAUGGAUGGAUUGGUGGAAAAAUUAAAUACACAAGAUGCACCUAGGAAGUUAAUAUACAGAAAGACAUAUGGAAGAAGAACACAUGGAAACUUCAAUCAAGGAGGCUUGAACCUGGGCCACUGGUGUUUUAUGGGUAAAAGUACUACCAUGUGCAAUUGUCACUUCUUUGGAGAAGGUUAAAUUAUGUCUCUUGUCAUUUUGUAGCUGUGUAUAUUGCUUUUAAUGAAAUGACACUGAAUAGAACCCAUUUGGAAUAUUUAUGAAACUAGCACUGCAUGAAAUUAGUUUUUGCUUAAUGUGCCUUUGCAUGAAUGCUUUUCUGAUACAAUGUAAUCUUAUAAGUGGACUGGAAUCAUAGAAUAGAACAGAGGAAAAAGAAAAAAAUGGCAAAAAAUUAAAUUAUUUUUGAACUAA